rnacentral:rRNA from 1 species
AUUGAACGCUGGCGGCAUGCCUUACACAUGCAAGUCGAACGGUAACGCGGGGCAACCUGGCGACGAGUGGCGAACGGGUGAGUAAUGUAUCGGAACGUGCCCAGUUGUGGGGGAUAACUGCUCGAAAGAGCAGCUAAUACCGCAUACGACCUGAGGGUGAAAGCGGGGGAUCGCCAGACCUCGCGCAAUUGGAGCGGCCGAUAUCAGAUUAGGUAGUUGGUGGGGUAAAGGCUCACCAAGCCGACGAUCUGUAGCUGGUCUGAGAGGACGACCAGCCACACUGGGACUGAGACACGGCCCAGACUCCUACGGGAGGCAGCAGUGGGGGAUUUUGGACAAUGGACGCAAGUCUGAUCCAGCCAUGCCGCGUGCGGGAAGAAGGCCUUCGGGUUGUAAACCGCUUUUGUCAGGGAAGAAAAGGCUCCUUCUAAUAUAGGGGGCUCAUGACGGUACCUGAAGAAUAAGCACCGGCUAACUACGUGCCAGCCGCCGCCGUAA